GACAGAUUUCUUCUUUGGGCGGCAAUGGGUCGAUUCACUUCCCUAUUUCACUUUGAUUGUACCCCCCGCUCCAAUUGAUUCAACAUGGCGUAGCUAAUAGGGCUUGGUUAAAGUUGGCUUCUCACAUACGCUUUUCUAUACUCUCUCUCUCUCUCUCUCUCAUUCUCACAUAAUCGUUCAUCAUACUCCGAAACCCUAAAUCGCUGAUUCGCCUUCCUUCGCUCUGAUUCUAUCCUGUGUGACGAGGUUUAUUCAAUCUUCAAAUAGUCAAUAGUGAUCAUCAUCGAUGAUUGUAUUGGGAGUUUCAAAGACUGAACUGUUAAUUGCAGAAAACAGAGGCGUUGAAGAACCUUAAGCAUAGAUGAUUCUGAAUACAACGAAAUACAACCGAAGAGUCAGCGGCUCGACUGCUCGAGCAAAGGCGUUGGAGCAUAAAGUUGUCCGAGUUCAUUACGACUGUGUAACACGAAAGACAAGGCGAUUCAAAUGCAUCUUAGGUUUAAUGAGAUGAUCGAUGUGAAGAAAGUCUUCUUAUUAACACACCAUAUGAAGAUUUAAAGAAUCUUGAAAUAGAAUUUCUUGAAAACCCAUGAACAAAGUAGGUAGCGGAGCAUCACCGGAAAUAAGACCUACAAGAGGUUGAAAUAUUGAUGGUAUUGGCUGAAAGCGAUUGUAAUACUCGGGAGAGGAGUUGUAUCGUUACCUUUUAAUGUAACACAAACGUCCAGCUAAAAAAUCUUCAUAGUCGGUGGAUAGCGGUGGUACGCUGGCGUUUCAUGACUACGAAUUGAAAAUUUGUAUUAAGCAACUUUACAGCAACGUUACUUACAAUCGGUGACAGAAGUGUUUCGUGUAUUUUUCUUUAUGAUUUUUACAGUUCUUGAAAUAAGAAACAAACAACAUACUUUGAGAACUAAGAGAGAGGCGUAUGAGACAGCAGCAUGAUAGUGAGGAGGAAGAGUAGACUUCUCAAUUAUUUUCUUUUCCUAGAGUGUUGAAAAAAUACAGUGCCAAAAGGCACUAGAAUAUGCUACUGAGGUUUAUAAGUCUUUUCUUCCAACAACAAGGCUACUGAGUAUGUAUAUUCUAUCUUUUGAUUAUUUGAUAAAAUAACAAAAAUCAAAAGGGCAUUGGAUAUUUGGAGUAGGUGAGUAGCUGGCAUUGCAUUAAAUGAUUAUGUUCCAUUUUGACGUAGUUUUCAUAGUAAUUUAGUUAAAAUAUGAAGACAUGGUCUAGGGUCAAGAUUCGAAGACCAAGAAUGUUAUAAGCUAUUGCAUUUUGACGAACAACUCAUGGGUUCUAGCCACGGUGAACCGCCACUAGGGUUAGCCUUGUGAAAAGUUUGGACUUAUAGCGGCCUAUUUACUUAUGAAUGAGCUGAUUUCAGGUAGGUUUUUAAUCUCAAAUGGGUUUUUUAAUCUUCCAAACAUGUAGAGUUCAGUUAUCUUCUUUCGACUACGGAAACAUUCUUCAUUGUAGUUUACUAAUUGAUUAUUACUUGAACGUUUAUUUAAUUCAAACGAUUACUUGAAUAAAUUAUAGUUAUUCAUUUGUGUUUUAGUCCAUCCGCGAACCUCGCGGGUUCUUAAACUAGUAACUAAUUAAAUGAGUACAUACAAAUGAUAUUAUAUUACUAUGAUAUAUAUUUUCACCAGCAUUAAUAUAUAAUACUUAUCUUAAAUAAUCAUCCACCUAAUUCUUAAAAGUUAAAACCGUUUCAUAUUUCCAUCCCCAAUCGCAUUUUCCCAAUCUUCUUCCACAGGCCUUCAAACGCUCUUCAUCAAAAUAUUUCUACUUUGCCAUUACGUACAUAACUUUUGAUUAUGAUGAUUCAAUUCAUCCAUUAAAUGUUCAUCAUAUUUCCCUUACUUGAAAUUGAAUUUCAAUCUUCAUACUGACUCCCACUCGGCCAAGUUGAAUAUAAAUUGGGGUAUUAUUUACUUUCGAUAUUCUUGCCAUGCAUAUGAUGACGAUUACGUGUUUUUUUUUCUCUCUAUUUUAAUUCAUCCUGAAUUGCAUUGUCAUCGUGUCCCCCAAACGUUUAUCUCUCUAUUAGAAUCACAUUAGUGUAAAUUUCACAUCCAAUAAUCACUGGAUCAAUCAGUCGGUUACAUUGUAUAUUGGCUUAAAUUUCCCCCACAUUGUAA